GAAAUGUUCACGUGUUACAGCGGCACGUGACGCAGCCGCAGCACACCCCAACAUGCGCCGAGUGCGAGGGCCUGUUCAACACUGCUUGAGGCUUUAAUUGACUUUUGUUUAUGCCAACAAUUUGAACUGCAUCUAUAAUGUCAUGAUCACAUAAAAAAAGACCUAAACCAAUAAUUUAUUGACAGAUGACAGUUUUUUUCAUUACCCACACUAGUACAUUUUAAGUCAACCCUGGAAAUGGGAAUCGAGAACCUGUUCCAGUUGAAAACUGGUUCCAAAUCAUCCAAUCCAUCAGAAUCUUAUGCCACUGAGUUUAUCAAUUUCUUUUAUCGAUGCCUGCAUGCAUUUCUGUGAAAGUUGGGCUUUUGCAAAGCAGUGACAUCAAAUUUGACACAUUCACACUGAAAACCUUUGUAGGCCUACCUUUAUCCACACAUGAAAUUGAUCAAGAUUUAAUAAGGGAAUCGGAAAAGAAUAUGAGCAUAAUAAAUAAUGGUACUGGUAUCAAUCAAAAGAUUGAAUGUAUGUUGUCCUGCUUUAGAAUAUACUUAUUUGUGAAACAAAUGCGCACUAGUCAGCAGCUGAAAAUAGUUUCCAACAAAAACUGCAGAGCCCAGAUGUUUUAGGAAUUGAAUAGGCCUUUUUAAUGAAACUAUAUUAGCUUCCCUUGUUGUAUUUGUGAAUCUGCCAGAGACAGAAUCAGAAAGUAUUGAGAGACUUAAUGAGAGAACACAUUGUUGGUUUUGGUCUUUCCAUGAGAUUUGUUGACAAUGAAUAAAAUACAGAACUAUGCCAGCCUCAGAUGUUAAGAUGACAGUCACCUGAUGUAAACAAGUCUGCUGAUCUGUAAAAUCAAGUGUGGAUACAUGGUCAAUGUUUUGUUUAUUUUGAUGUGAAUUUACUUGCUGAAUUAUGGUAGUCAUUUAGAUUAUACGAAAUAUAUUGGAUCUGUUUGUGUGACUUCUAAACUUGGAGGUGUACCAAAUAAGUUGGAAACUGCUGCCACCUGGUCAGUUGAUUUCUCUUCUCUGUCUUUAUUGUUUAAUGCUUUUGAUAUAGAAUACAGGAUUACUUUGUUGUUCCGUCUUCCUUUAGCGACAAAGGAGAAGCGGGCAAAAAGAGAUGGCAGUGGCACAACUCAGAUAUCCUGUAAUCAAAGCAAGAUAGGUGACAAUGAGGAAAGGAAGAGAGAGAAACAAGCCAUAAUGAUUAAAAUGGAAUCCUUGAUGAAAGAAAUGGAAGGAUUGUUGAAACAGGAUGGAAUGAGUUUUCUGACACCAGUAAUUGGAUUCUAUUGCCAGAGGUGUGAGGAGUUCAUUGGAGAUUUGAAUAGUGCUGAAAACCAUACAGCUGUUCACCGCCAUAGUAACUCUAGCAGUGUACGUAUACUUCCCAUAUACCUCUGUGUGGACAUCUGGUGACGUUUUAUAUUUUUUGUAUUCAACAAAUCCCAUGAAAAGUCAAACCCAAAAAUGAAUGUUUCCUACUAACAAGUAUUGUGUUUGCCUAAUAUACAGGUGCAUCUCAAUAAA